ACGGGAGGCAGCAGUGAGGAAUGUUGGUCAAUGGGCGAGAGCCUGAACCAGCCAAGUUGCGUGAAGGAUGAAGGUUCUAUGGAUUGUAAACUUCUUUUGUUCGAGGGUAAAGUGAGUCACGUGUGAUUUAUUGCAAGUAUCGAACGAAUAAGCAUCGGCUAACUCCGUGCCAGCAGCCGCGGUAAUACGGAGGAUGCGAGCGUUAUCCGGAUUUAUUGGGUUAAAAGGGUGCGUAGGCGGGAUGUUAAGUCAGCGGUUAAAUAGUGUAGCUCAACUAUACUUUGCCGUUGAAACUGGCGUUCUUGAGUGUAAACGAGGUAGGCGGAAUGUGACGUGUAGCGGUGAAAUGCUUAGAUAUGUCACAGAACCCCGAUUGCGAAGGCAGCUUACCAGGAUACAACUGACGCUGAGGCACGAAAGCGUGGGUAUCAAACAGGAUUAGAUACCCUGGUA
rnacentral:rRNA from 1 species